GCCUGAAAGGGUGAAUUAGGCCAACUAAUCUAUAGGCUGCACCUGGAGGAAAGCCAGGGAAUGCUGAAGUCUCAUUUGCUGAUGAAGCUGGCAAUGAGGGAGGGGCUUCUGGGAAGUAGGUUGUAGUCUUUCCCUGGAGAAGGGAGGUGUGUUUGAGGCUAUAGGAUUGAGUAAUCUGAGGUUCUUCCCUGGAAGGAGCGAGUUUGAGCUGGUACACCCAGAGAGGGAGGAACCAGAAGCUGUAGGAAGGAGCAACAAGGGCUGAGAGAAAGCAGGCCAGGUAACAGGGUUCCUGGACUGGAACCUGGAGUAGUAGGCAGGCCCAGGUUCCCCCACUGGAGAAGUGGCACCAUCAGGGAGAAGACUGCCUGAGACUGUUAGUGUGGAAGAACUUUGGAUAACUCCCAGAAGGGGAAACCAUGUAGUGACCUGGCCAGAGAACAGUCACAAAGAGGAGGCUGCAGUUCCUGGUGCCAGAGGGGCCACAGGGUGAGACAAGAGGAGUGAAGACUCUAUCAGAGGAGGGUGCAAUGCCUGACAGAGCUAAUCCCCAGGACAGAGGGGAGGAGUCGCCACCUGUGGCAGGAGGCUGGUCAAAGCAAGGACCGAUGAUGAGUCCUCCACCAACAAGAUACUUUGGAGGAAACACCUCAAGCUGAACUUCUGGUUCUUGGCUCUCUCAUGGAUUAUUCCUCCCAUGCCAUCCUUUAUCACUUUCCCCAGGGAACACCCAAGGUCUGUGGACAGCCUCCAAGAGAUCUGAAGGAGGAAGGGUGGGCCACACUGCCAUGAAGAUAGCUGAACCCAAUUCUGCAUUUGGAAAGUCCCCUCCCUGCACAGAGCUAGAAGUAGAUGGUCCAGAUCUUAAUUAUUUGUAGAAGGAGCCUUUGAUUCCCUAAGUCUUAUUGUUGUUUUCUUGGUGGACAACUAAUUGGAAUCUGCUACAAAAAACAUUCACACAAAUAUAUUUGUAAAUGUUUUAUCUAUGCUAUGUGAUCCAAUGUUACAAAGAAAUGAAUUCUUUAAAAAAACAGAUAAAGGGGUUUGCCUAUGAAUACAGAAAUUGUCAUAAGAAUUAUUAUUAAUUCCAUACAAAUGCAUAAUUACAUUAACAUUUGCUUUUGAAUUAUGCCAAGUCAUUUUUUGCAGUAUUUGAUACCUUUACUUUCUAAUAAUCAAUUUAUUCUUUCUUGCAGAAAAUUGCUUUAAAAAUUAUGUUUAUAGUUGAAAGGCUUUCUAGGACUAAUUAUUAGUAGGUUGUUGAGGAUUCACUUUGCCUUUAUAAAUGAGUUUA